CACGUAGGGCGCAAGCGUUGUCCGGAAUUAUUGGGCGUAAAGAGCUCGUAGGUGGUCUGUUGCGUCCGCUGUGAAAACUCGGGCUUAACCCCGAGCCUGCAGUGGAUACGGGCAGACUAGAGGUAGGUAGGGGAGAAUGGAAUUCCUGGUGUAGCGGUGAAAUGCGCAGAUAUCAGGAGGAACACCGGUGGCGAAGGCGGGUCUCUGGGCCGAUAUUGACGCUGAGGAGCGAAAGCGUGGGAGCGAACAGG
rnacentral:rRNA from 1 species